CAUGCGGCUUCCCUAUACUGCAAGUCGAACGAACUCUGGUAUUGAUUGGUGCUUGCAUCAUGAUUUACAUUUGAGUGAGUGGCGAACUGGUGAGUAACACGUGGGAAACCUGCCCAGAAGCGGGGGAUAACACCUGGAAACAGAUGCUAAUACCGCAUAACAACUUGGACCGCAUGGUCCGAGCUUGAAAGAUGGCUUCGGCUAUCACUUUUGGAUGGUCCCGCGGCGUAUUAGCUAGAUGGUGGGGUAACGGCUCACCAUGGCAAUGAUACGUAGCCGACCUGAGAGGGUAAUCGGCCACAUUGGGACUGAGACACGGCCCAAACUCCUACGGGAGGCAGCAGUAGGGAAUCUUCCACAAUGGACGAAAGUCUGAUGGAGCAACGCCGCGUGAGUGAAGAAGGGUUUCGGCUCGUAAAACUCUGUUGUUAAAGAAGAACAUAUCUGAGAGUAACUGUUCAGGUAUUGACGGUAUUUAACCAGAAAGCCACGGCUAACUACGUGCCAGCAGCCGCGGUAAUACGUAGGUGGCAAGCGUUGUCCGGAUUUAUUGGGCGUAAAGCGAGCGCAGGCGGUUUUUUAAGUCUGAUGUGAAAUCCUUCGGCUCAACC
rnacentral:rRNA from 2 species